rnacentral:rRNA from 1 species
GACGAACGCUGGCGGUGUGCCUAAUACAUGCAAGUCGAGCGAAGUUUUUCUGGUGCUUGCGCCGGAAAAAACUUAGCGGCGAACGGGUGAGUAACACGUAAAGAACCUGCCUCAUAGACUGGGACAACUAUUGGAAACGAUAGCUAAUACCGGAUAACAGCAUUAACUGCAUGGUUGAUGUUUAAAAGUUGGUUUUGCUAACACUAUGAGAUGGCUUUGCGGUGCAUUAGCUAGUUGGUGGGGUAAAGGCCUACCAAGGCGACGAUGCAUAGCCGACCUGAGAGGGUGAUCGGCCACACUGGGACUGAGACACGGCCCAGACUCCUACGGGAGGCAGCAGUAGGGAAUCUUCAGCAAUGGACGGAAGUCUGACCGAGCAACGCCGCGUGAGUGAAGAAGGUUUUCGGAUCGUAAAGCUCUGUUGUAAGAGAAGAACGAGUGUGAGAGUGGAAAGUUCACACUGUGACGGUAUCUUACCAGAAAGGGACGGCUAACUACGUGCCAGCAGCCGCGGUAAUUACUAGGUCCCGAGCGUUGUCCGGAAUUAUUGGGCGUAAACCAAGCGCAGGCGGAUUAGAUAAAUCUGAAGUUAAAGGCUGCUGGCUUAACCAUAGUAGGGCUUUGGAAACUGUUUAACUUGAGUGCAAGAGGGGAGAGCGGAAUUCCAUGUGUACCGGUGAAAUGCGUAGAUAUAUGGAGGAACACCGGUGGCGAAAGCGGCUCUCUGGCUUGUAACUGACGCUGAGGCUCGAAAGCGUGCGGAGCAAACAGGAUUAGAUACCCUGGUAGUCCACGCCGUAAACGAUGAGUGCUAGGUGUUAGACCCUUUCCGGGGUUUAGUGCCGCUAGCUAACGCAUUAAGCACUCCGCCUGGGGAGUACGACCGCAAGGUUGAAACUCAAAGGAAUUGACGGGGGCCCGCACAAGCGGUGCAGCAUGUGGUUUAAUUCCAAGCAUCGCUAAGAUUCUUACCAGGUCUUGACCUCCCUCUGAGCGCUCUACAGAUAUAUCUUUCCUUCGGGACAUAGGUCACAGGUGCUGCAUGGCUGUCAUCAGCUCGUGUCCUGAGAUGUUGGGUUAAGUCCCUCUACGAGCGCAACCCCUAUUGCUAACUUGCAUCUUUCAGUUGGCCACUCUACCGAGACCGGCCGUAAUAAACCCGCACGAUGGUGCCCAUGACGUCAAAUGCUCCUGCCCCCUUAUGUACUGGGCUUAUUACGGGCUUUCUUGGCUGGUACAAAGAGCUCCCAACGUCGUGAACUGCAAUUUAAUCUCCUAAAGCCCAUCCUCAGUUUGGAAUUGUGGCUUCCACCCCGCCUACUUGAA